CCCUUAGAUGCUCUGGGCCGCACGCGCGCUACACUGGUCGAUGCAACGAGUUUCUUUCCUUGGCCGACAGGCUUGGGCAAUCUUUGAACAUCGAUCGUGAUCGGGAUAGAUUCUUGUAAUUUUUGAUCUUAAACGAGGAAUUCCUAGUAAACGCAAGUCAUCAGCUUGCAUUGAUUACGUCCCUGCCCUUUGUACACACCGCCCGUCGCACCUACCGAUUGAAUGGUCCGGUGAAAUCUCCGGACUGGCGUGAGUCGGAGCAAUCUGACAAACACCGGAAAGUUGAUUAAACCUUACCAUUUAGAGGAAGGUGAAGUCGUAACA
rnacentral:rRNA from 1 species